rnacentral:tRNA from 1 species
GCCAAGGUAGCUCAGUCGGUAGAGCAGAGGACUGAAAAUCCUUGUGUGGGGGGUUCGAUUCCCUCCCUUGGCACCA